UCGCAUCUGUGCAUGCAGCAUAUCAAUAAGCGGAGGAAAAGAAACUAACAAGGAUUCCCCUAGUAACGGCGAGUGAAGCGGGAAGAGCUCAAAUUUGAAAUCUUAAGGGUUUCCCUUUACGAAUUGUAGUUUAAAGAAGUGUUUUCUGUUGAGGUUUUGGUAAAAGUUCUUUGGAAUAGGACAUCAUAGAGGGUGAGAAUCCCGUAUUUGACCUUUACUUUCAACUUUGUGAUACACUUUCAAAGAGUCGGAUUGUUUGGGAAUGCAGUCCAAAAUGGGUGGUAAAUUUCAUCUAAAGCUAAAUAUUGGCGAGAGACCGAUAGCGAACAAGUACCGUGAGGGAAAGAUGAAAGGAACUCUGAAAAGAGAGUUAAACAGUACGUGAAAUUGUCAAAAGGGAAGCGUUUGACACCAGUGUUGUUUUUCUGAAAAUCAAUUAAAGAACUGUUUAUGCUAAGCUGUUUAGGACUUUAUCAGCUAACUGUUUAGUUUUGAGCUUUUCUUUAAUGCACUUUUCAGUUAACAAGUCAACAUCAAUUUCUUUUGCUGUAAAAAAGCUUGAGGAAGGUGGCUUGAGAUUCGUCUUAAGUGUUUAUAGCCUCUUGCCUAUGCAGUCGGAGAGAUUGAGGUCUGCAGCGUAGAUCCUUCGGGGCUAAAUGCAUUUGUGCUAAGUUAUAGCAUUUUAUAGACAACUUGUUGACUAUGAUUUGUCUUGUAGCUUACUCGCUUAUGUUAUUUUACCUACGCUUAGGAUGUUGAACGCGCACAGAGUCUC
rnacentral:rRNA from 1 species